GGAAAUUAAAUCAGCAUAAUAAACAGAUACCUGAAUGUCCAUGACCAUGGGAACCUAGUUAAAAGAUGACCUGAGAAAGAUUCCGGGUGUUUAUCUUGCAGGAAUCCUAUCUUCUGCUUAGAUAAAAGGAUUAUCUACAAUGAUCCAGGCUAUUCAUCAAUUAUCAAAGAUAUCUACAUUAAUUUUCUAUUUAUUAUCUUUAUAAUCUCUUUAAGGGAAAGAACAUGGGAAGGUUAAAACUGACCAGAUAAAAAUAUUCCCAAACCUGAAGAGAGAUUUUUUUAAAGCA
rnacentral:lncRNA from 1 species